rnacentral:rRNA from 1 species
CUCCUACGGGAGGCAGCAGUGGGGAAUAUUGCACAAUGGGCGAAAGCCUGAUGCAGCAACGCCGCGUGAGUGAUGAAGGCCUUCGGGUCGUAAAACUCUGUCCUAAGGGAAGAAAACUGACGGUACCUUAGGAGGAAGCCCCGGCUAACUACGUGCCAGCAGCCGCGGUAAUA